rnacentral:rRNA from 1 species
UAGAGUUUGAUCCUGGCUCAGGACGAACGCUGGCGGCGUGCUUAACACAUGCAAGUCGAACGGAGCACCCCUGAAGGAGUUUUCGGACAACGGAUGGGAAUGCUUAGUGGCGGACUGGUGAGUAACGCGUGAGGAACCUGCCUUCCAGAGGGGGACAACAGUUGGAAACGACUGCUAAUACCGCAUGAUGCGUUGGAGCCGCAUGACUCCGACGUCAAAGAUUUAUCGCUGGAAGAUGGCCUCGCGUCUGAUUAGCUAGUUGGUGAGGUAACGGCCCACCAAGGCGACGAUCAGUAGCCGGACUGAGAGGUUGGCCGGCCACAUUGGGACUGAGAUACGGCCCAGACUCCUACGGGAGGCAGCAGUGGGGAAUAUUGGGCAAUGGACGCAAGUCUGACCCAGCAACGCCGCGUGAAGGAAGAAGGCUUUCGGGUUGUAAACUUCUUUUAAGGGGGGAAGAGCAGAAGACGGUACCCCUUGAAUAAGCCACGGCUAACUACGUG